UACGGGGGGGGCAAGCGUUGUUCGGAAUUACUGGGCGUAAAGGGCGCGUAGGCGGCGACCCAAGUCAGAUGUGAAAGUCCUGGGCUUAACCUGGGGACUGCAUUUGAUACUGGGUUGCUUGAAUUCGGGAGAGGAUAGCGGAAUUCCCAGUGUAGAGGUGAAAUUCGUAGAUAUUCGGAAGAACACCAGUGGCGAAGGCGACUGACUGGACAGAUAUUGACGCUGAGGUGCGAAAGCGUGGGGAGCAAACAGG
rnacentral:rRNA from 1 species